rnacentral:rRNA from 1 species
ACGGAUCUCUUGGUUCUGGCAUCGAUGAAGAACGCAGCGAAAUGCGAUAAGUAAUGUGAAUUGCAGAAUUCAGUGAAUCAUCGAAUCUUUGAACGCACAUUGCGCCCGGCAGCAAUCUGCCGGGCAUGCCUGUCCGAGCGUCAUUUCUUCCCUCGAGCGCGGCUGCCUCUGGCGGCCGCCGCCCGGUGUUGGGGCUCUGCGGCCUCUCGCAGUCCCCGAAAUGAAGUGGCGGUCCCGCCGCGGCGCCCCCUGCGUAGUACAACGCCUCGCAUCGGGUCCCGGCGACGACCAGCCGUCGAACCUUUCAACUCUUGAUGGUUUGACCUCGGAUCAGGUAGGGUUACCCGCUGAACUUAAGCAUAUCAAUAAGCGGAGGA